rnacentral:ncRNA from 1 species
AAUCCGAAAGGGCAAACCUGGGGAAAUUCAGGGACGCAAAGCUAUAGGGGCUAAGAUCGUAUUCAUUGAUGAUGCCAGCCAGUUGCCGAA